UGCACCAUGCCAUGUCACCCUGCAGCCCAAGACCGGUUACUCACUGAAGCUAAGCAGGGCUGAGCCUGGUCAGUACCUGGAUGGGAGACCACUAGGGAACACUAGGUUGCUGUUGGAA
rfam:Danio rerio chromosome 12, GRCz11 reference primary assembly.